AAGCCAGGGCUCCGUAACGCACCCUUUUUGACAGCUCUGGAGUCCCAGGGAUGGCCGGCCCACGGCCAGUAGCCCAGGACACUUUGCCACGGACGCUUUGUCACUGCAAACUCUCCUGGGAACCCCCCUGACUGGGCUCCAGGAUGUAUUCCAGAAAAUGGAAUCGCAGGUCGAAGCACGCCCAGGUGAGCAAGCAAAGAACAGGAAUCCUUUCAGGAGUGACCACAAGGACCGCCAGGCAAGCUCCACGCCCUUUGACGUGCACCGAAGAGGAGGAAACAACAUGUGAUGGAUAUUAACCACACAAGUUCCAACUCACUCUUUUUAAUAGCUGCACUAUUCCACACUGGGGACGUAUUCCUGCCCCUACCAGUCCCCAAGUGAUGGGCA